UACGGAGGGGCUAGCGUUGUUCGGAAUUACUGGGCGUAAAGCGCACGUAGGCGGCUUUGUAAGUUAGAGGUGAAAGCCCGGGGCUCAACUCCGGAAUUGCCUUUAAGACUGCAUCGCUAGAAUUGUGGAGAGGUAAGUGGAAUUCCGAGUGUAGAGGUGAAAUUCGUAGAUAUUCGGAAGGAACACCAGUGGCGAAGGCGACUCACUGGCCCGAUACUGA
rnacentral:rRNA from 1 species